UAUCUUUGCGCUUGGGGCAAUGACGCAGCUAGUGAGGUUCUAACCGAGGCGCGUCUAUUGCUGGUUGAAAACUAUUUCCAAACCCCCUCAUUGGCCUGGGCUCCGCCUUGGCCAUUGAGAAUUUUUGAAAGGGCUUCCCUUCUGGGAUAAGCCCUACAAUUCAAGUCUAAGUUUUUCAUUUUAAUCAAUCGUAUCAAAACGGUAAUCAUAUCUCUCAGUUCAAAGUAUAUCAGAAAAGUAGCUUUUUCGACGUAAUAUAGCAGCAUAUGAAGGUAAUGCCCGUAAACUAUUUGAAGGCGACACAAUUUAGAAAACACUCUAAGAGAAAAGGGCAAGAGGAAAUGAAAACAAAGGAGAAGAGGAACUGGACAUUGAAAGAAAAACGGAAUAAAUGGUAAAUGGAAGGAACAAUAAAACAGAUAUCUUUAUUAUAUACCCAAUCAUAUUGGCUUUAAAAUGAAUGAUAUUUAACCAAGUUUUGCAGAUGGAAAGGUUGUGAAAUCACUCCUCUAGGCUGGCUGGCUAACAAACUCUAGCAAAGGUGUGAAACUAAAAUGAGAGGUUAACUGAAUUAAACUUAUACCAAAUGCAACAAACAAAUUGUAAAUUGCUAUCAUUCCGUAUGCUCUAAAAGCAAAACGACCAAAACUUCAAAAUAACGAUCUCUUGCUACAUCUUUAGUGAAGGUAUUUUUAAGCAUGGAGCUAUGAAUAAGCCAAGUGCUUUGCCUGAUGAUGAAAGGCUCUACAAGUACCGAAUAUGGCUAAAUACACUACUAGCUCGAAAAUUCCUCCCCCAGUGAAUUAGGAGGUAUAUGAUCUGAUUCCUCAUCUCUGUUUGACUUGUUUCUUUGAAGAGGCACGAGAUGACUGUUGGAAGACGGGACUAUAUGUGUGUUGCUGAAUAAUAUUGAUAAGAACGAAAGUAUUUGCAGCCAAGAACAGCAAACCUGCCACCCAGAGUUGAAGAAAGACAUUCUUUCCUUUAAAUUCAAGCAAAUAACCCCACAAUAACCAGUGACCCUGAGCUGCCAUCCACAACAAGAUGCAGACCAGUCCUUUUCCUCCGAGCUUCAUGUUGGUCCAUGGCAGGAUUAGUGGCAAGAGACAGAAGAACCAAACAAAGUAUUGAGCAGUCAUAACCUGUCAGAGGAAAAGAACGUUAUCUUGCUAAAGGAAAAUCAAGCUAAUAUUCACUGAUUCUCAACAUAAAAAAUAAUCAAGCCUUGCCAACAAACCUUGUUAAAUGCGACAAAUGCCACAGUCUGCACAAAGAAGCAAAAUGGAAAAUCUUGUGCAAAGCGGAAAACAAGAACUAGCUGCACCAUAAUCUGAGGCAGAAACGAGACGAGCUUUUCCAAGAUAGAUAACUCAUGUUCAUAGUGCAGAUAUAUAUGGUAGAAAUAAAUUGAGAAAUUGUGCCUAGGGUCUGUACGUGUGAGAUGAUAGAGCAGUGCUUCAUGCAAGAAAUCGCAGCCAUAUAAAAAGAAGAAAAUCCCAGUAAGGAGAAAGAACAAAGCUCCAGAAAUAAGCCCAAACAUUAUCCUCCUCCAGGUAAAAAGGCUUGUUAAAAAGUUGCACAUACAACAAGGAUCCAUAAGCUUUUUACAGCUGGAAGUCUGCUGUGACUUACUUUUUCUAGAACUCCAAUUCACAAGAGCAGGUUUUGUACCAUACUGGAAGAACAAGGGAUCAAGAACUAAAAUGAUUGGAAGAGCAUAAAUUAUUGGAUAGAUCCUCAUGUGGACGACAAGCCCAUACCAAAAUGCAGCUUGUACUAAACGACCUGAUCAGGGAAACAUCACCAAAAUCAAUAGAGCGUCAAGAUUUAUAACUUCCAAAGAAAAAAUGAAACCACAGUUCCCAUUAACCCAAGUGGAAAUACAGUUAUCUGACCCAAAAUAUCGGAGGAUUCUUGGAAAAAUUCUCAAUUAAAAAGAGUUUAUUGUUUAACCCUAUAAAGUUCCAGAGUUAACAUUCUCGGUUUCUACUUUCCCUUUAAACUAAAGGUUCACUAUAACUUCAAAUUGCAUAAUAACUAUGAAAAGAAACAGAGGUAGAUUCAGGGCAAAUCUUGUUUCAUGCUUUAUUGAGAAAUCAAGUAAAAGAUGAAUAUUCAGCUUACAUUGAUUGGUUGCUAAAACCUCAUUCACUGUCCGAUAAUUUUGUGUUGGGCCUAUACACCUAACCCUGUGGAGGAGUGGGAGAAAGACUCAAUCUUGAUCGGUGUUCAAUGAGAAUACCUUCUUUUUUACAGUUUCAUCACUUAAAUCAUGAUUCCCCUAAAUACUUCCCCUUCCAUCUGCCCCCCUCUUUACAGUCAUUUACAUUACCCCCAAUAAUAUUGUAAGGUAGAUUAAGGAGACAGGAACCAUUUUGAAAGAGAUAAUAACAGAGAAAAUAGCAGUAGGGAAAUAAACUAUACAUUGAAAAAGAAAAAUUUAGGAGUAAGUUCUCAAUAUAACUAUAUUAAAUGUAAUUAGAAGGUACUGAAAGUUUUACCAUUCAUUAGACAUAGAAUAAUCCAAAGGAUUAUGGCACAGAUGAUGGGCUCACAAUUCCCACGAGUUCCAAUGGUAAAGGUAAAUGGAUUCAAAAGCCAUACCAUCACCGAAUAGGUGCAUAAUUUCUCAGGCACCCCUCUUAGCUUUAGAAUGGCGUUGAUAAGAAAUCCCACGAGAAGAUCUGCCGCACGAACUCAAUGUAAGUUUCAUUAAGCAUAUCUGUUUUGGAAACAUAAUUAAGAUGUCUUCUAAGAAUAUCAAUUAUGCAUUUUUUGCAAUAAGAAGAGACAAUAAACCCACAUACAAGAGUGCAAGUUCAGAAGCUAUUUGUCUACUCUUAGAUUGAUCAUCUACAAGUUCAUGCCCUAAUCAACAAUUCAUCCAGUCUUUAGUUAUACAUCCACAACAACCCCAAAGAUUGCCAAUGAAACCUAAGCAGAUAGAGAUGCAAAAAUCUCUUGGAAACCAUAUACAAGGAGCAUUUGUAUGAGGAAAAACAAGAAUUCCAAAUGAGUCAAUUAAAAAUGGAACCUUUGCGUUGUCUUGAAAUUAGAACCUAACAAGAGCUUAAUACAAAAGUAGGAUUUCAUGUAUCUGUCUGUUCUCACAAAUAAUAAACCCAAAUCAUACGAAAAUUGUGAAGCUCAGACUUCUUCAUCAUUCAACGGGAAUAAAAAGAACCCACAAAAUUGAAGGGACAAAGAAAGAAAAAAAGAAAAAGAGAAGAGAAAGGGAAAAUCUCACCUGAAGCGGAGAAGAUAAACUUUCCCCAAGAAGGAUGAACGAAAGAAUUGGGCACAAGAAGAAAAGCAAUCAAGGGAGAGUAACGAUAUGUAGAUCUUUGAUAAGGGGAUUUUCCGGCAGCAACUAAAGCAGCUGCAUCUGAGAAAACAAGAUAGUCCACAUCUGUGUAUCGAACCUCCAUAUGGGUAUCUUGCCAUUCUCCAUAGAUUAUCAAAAACACCCUAAGAAAGGCUGAGAAUAUCAGCAGCGACUUCAGAUUUACAGUCACCAUCAUUCAGGAACUGAUCGCUCAAUACCCAAAACAACAGAGGAAGGUCUUUUUAUUUAUUUUUUCUUUUAAAAAACAAAACAUUAUGACUUUCCACAAUUCUGUUUCAAUUAUUUCAAGAAUUAAAUUUCACUAAAUAUAAAAAAUUCAGAGUUUGGAUCUUGAAUAGAGUCAAACAUGGACCCUUUUUUAAAUAAAGCAAAGUUAAUUUUGAACUAAAUCAAUCUAGUAUUGAAUUUGGGGUUUUCAUGUUCAAAAGUAAACUUUUAUUAAAUAUUUAACUACAAUAUUAAACUCACCAUUCAAUUAAGCGCUCUAUUUUUGCUUUGACACGAUUAUUAAAAUUUCAAAAUAAGAAAUGAUUUGUAUUUUUUAAAAGAAGUUAAGUAUUUCAAUUGAUGUUCUUGAUCACAAAAUAAUGAAUAUUAGUAUUGAUAAGUUUAGAGAAAAAAUUCCAAGUCAGUUCCUCCUUAAUAUAAAAUAGAUUUUAGCUAAUAAUAUACAUUGUACACUAAGAUGAAGAAGUGUUGAAUAUUUUCAGAAGUCACCAUGUACUCUUUGAAAUUGACUCCUAGAGUAAAUUUCAUCCAAGGUUUCAAAAAACGGUCACCAGCUACCCAUAUUUUAAAAAACUACAAAUGCCAUCCAAGGUCCUAAUAGCUACCAAAAACAACAUCUCUAUCCCAUAAGGUUGUUGGGUACGAUUUGCUUACUCAUAUCACAUUCGACAUACAUCUCUACUCCUUCAAUCUGUGUCGUCUUCACUUUAGAAAACAUUUGUAAAUAGGAAAUUAACCAGGGAAAUUCAUUUCAAGAGUUGAUCAUUCACAUUAUGGGAUACAAUCACUCUUACAUACAAAAAGAAUAAUCAUGAGAUACUUUUUCAUCUUCAGAUUACACUUGCCAUUAGAUUGUCCUCACAAUGGGUUCAGAUUAGGGAAAAAGUUAUCGCCAAAGUUUGGCAUAGGAUAAAAAUAAGAGAAAUAGACUUUCAGGGGGAAAUUGGACAUGUACAACUUUAGAACAAAACAUUGUGGGUAAUAGGAUUUGCUUGAUAUAUUUACUCAGAAGAUGAUCCACUCGGAUCCUUCACUUUAUCAUACUACCUAUUCAGUUUUACUAACAUAAGAAGGUAAUUACAUUAUGAAACUAAGUAAAUACCAGAGGGCAGUUAUAAGAAUUCAUAAACUUAGAUAUCCUAAGAGUAUGUGACUGUUGAUCAACAGAGCUCAUUUAGCCUCAGUAAGUUCUUCUUUCAUAUCGAAACCAGACAGUGCAGCCAGCUCUGAAAGCUUCUUCUCUCCGCUAAGAACCUGCCAGAAUAUUAUAGUUAUAAGGUCCCUCACAGCAAGAUGUUCAUUUUCUUAUCGAACGUGUGAAUGACUGGUGCCUUUUGUAUAGGUUACAAAAUAUUUUUCUAGCAUGAAGAAGGUUCUUGCUCACCUCCCCAUUGAUAACCCAUGUAGGGAACCCUUCGAGUUUUGCUUCUUGACAUGCAUUGAUCAUAGAAAUUCCCCUCUUAAGUCCAUAAGGAAAGCAUUCUACAUAGUCUAGUAACUUUGCUGCUUCUCGUCCAAACAUCUUGUUGCAGUGACACAAGAAUAUACCAAUUUAGUACAGAAUACAAGCCAACUCUUACCUAUACUGCUAAGUGCAUAAUGCAAAUCAGAAUUUCUAGUGGGAUCUUUAAGGCCAUUUUUUAUAUUCUUAAUGUUUAGUUGCAAUAUUGACAAACAGUUGGGGUCAGAACUCUGAGUAUCUGCUUCUGACCUUUAAAGAUUAAUCCACAGAAGCUCUUAGCCAAAUUCCAGCACCAGUAUACGAAAGAAGGAAAUAUAAGGGUCUCUCUUUUUCCCUUUAAUGAUGCUCUUACUUAUUUUACGGAAGACGUUAAUAUUCAACCCAAUAGUAGUUGAUGCAUAUUCAUAUUCUUCCCUACCCAUAUCAUGUUUUGUCUUUUCCCUUAUAGAAUGUUACUUUAGGAAUGUAGCAAUCAGACAACGUGGCUGGAGUCCAAUCAACAUCCACGCUUCACCCUACCUACAUCAUGUCAGAUUUGAUAAUGGGGAAAGAUUUUACUUUCCCAUUUUCUAUGUAUGCAAGUAUUUCUUUCUCUGAAUCUUUUUUUUUGCCUAAUGAAAUGAUGUCACUAUGCCAUUGAGGCAACCAAAAAGGAAAUAAUUUUAGAAAAAACAUCAUUUUCAUAUGCAGUUUUUUUUUUUUUUUUGAGAAACCCAUCAAAAUGCAGUACUAAGAAAGCACAUUUGCAAAAGAAAGAGAACCUGCUUUUGUUCCUGGCAGUGAGAACACCAGAAAGCCCCAUACAUUUUUGCCCCAAUUGAAUGCAGGUGUUUCGCUAGGGAUAUAGCAAAAGGUGUAGACUCUGAUGUGAUCUCUGCUGUAAAGUAUUCCAUCUCAGCCAGAGCAGAACUGCAAAAGAUGGGAAAAGGAUUUUGAGUAAUUGUUCUCUUGAAUAACGUGCAUGAUCUUUUCACCAACUAUACAUUUCAGAUGAUCUAGAGUUUUACCUGUGACUAAAUGACUGCACAUCAAGAGCUUUUCUAUCUUAAAAUGACCAAGAUAUCUUGUUGCUGCUAAAUCUAGAAACUGAAACAAGCUUCUCUUACUUGCUUUAAGAUUCUAGCUUAAAUAAUUCAUGGAAAGUUUUUAUACAAGUUAAUGUGAUUAUCUCUUUAAUCAAUGCCAAUCAAACAUUCACUACUUAAUGCAAAAAAAGAAACUCUUGCCUAUUGUCCUUUCAAUCCAAAGACACUUUGCCUAAUAUCAUCCUACAAUGUGUAAAUGUGUACGGAUUGUUUACCCUGUGUUUGUAGGCUGAGAGUCACUGUAUGAAUUGUUUAGGGUAGAAACCACCAAGAGAACUAUAAGUAACUGUAUACCCACAUCUUUUUGCACCUCUUGAAAGCCCAAACCCUGUAUAUAAAAGAAAUAUCUUUGUCACUACCAUUGCAUAUAGCAAUAGAAGCUAAACAAACAAGUCUGUAGUAGAGAUAACCUUCAUACUGCUGAUGAACAAACUAAAUGACAAUAAGACAGAAGCUAAACAGUACGGACAAAAUUCCCCAGUGAACUUUGUGCUUAGGAUGUACAAGAAGUAUGCACUGGCAGCUGCCAUGGAAGUAGUUGUUCCAAGUAAAACCAAACGCCCAUUAGCUUCACCAGUUCCAAGAGGCCUGCUUUUCUGGCCCAAUUGUAUCCCAAGUAUUGCAACUACUCCAUAAGCAACCAUACCAAUUAAUGGAAGAGGAACACCUGGCAAAUGAAAAAGGAUGAAAACUGAAUCUUUUUCCAAACAUAUUACCUGCAAUUUAAGUGACAUACUGCCUUCAAUUUAAUGAUUUUCCAAUCUGUGUCUUUCAGAUCAAACAAUACAGCUUACAAUGUAACAAAAUUAGCACUGCAUUAGUUAUUAAGUCUGACAACAAAAUACACUACUAUAUAUUAUAAUGUGCUACCUCCUCUGUGAUAUGUAUGAUUACCAUCAAAAGGAGUUAUAACAUUUUGUUAGAAGAACAAAUCACCCCAGUGUUUUUUUUUUUGACACGAUAAAGGUCGAACAAUUCACCUGUGUGUUAUGCACACUAUGCACAUAAAGUAUAUGAGAGAUUUACGAGCAAUUAGAGCCCAAUCAGUACGAGGAUUAGGUGUUGCUACUUCCAGGAAUUGGUUUAUGUUGAGGCCUCACCACUAUGAGAUAAAAUGGGUGCAACUUACAGCAAUGUUUACUGUCAACAUCUUCUUGUCAAGUAUGUUGGACCAAUUGAUAUUGGUUUUUCUAAUUCUGGCUCCACACUGGAGUUUUGUAACCUCACUGCAAUCAAUGUGUGCCGGCUUAUUGUAACACUGAGAUAGGGAAAAGUCCUUUGAUUCAUCAAUGAGUACUGGAAUUGGAGUGGGUGGAAAUGACGGUGACCUUAUGGAGGCGAAUUGGGUACAGCACAGGUUUCUCAGUCCGAUUGCAUUUCUAGGCAUCCCAUUCAUUGAUAAUUCAAACUAUCUACCUUACAGAGUCUCAUUUGAAGACAACCGAAGAUCAUGUAACUUAAAAAAAGGCUAUUAUCAAACAUAUGCUGGUCUAAUUAACAAUAGAUUUCUUCAGCUAAUAACAUCUUGUGUUUAGUAAGGUUUCUUGAAACCAACUUCAUAUUAUGUCCUAAAUUAAUGUUUUAAACAAGCAUAACUUACUCUCUCCAUGUACAACAAUAACAACAUCUAUGUUUUCCUAGUUAGUUGGGUCAGCUAUAUGAACUGCAAAGUUAACAUGCUUUGGCUGGAGUAGUACUGGGAUGGGGUUAUCCCCGGGGAAACUCUGAUUGUGCGAGCUUGCUCUAUAGCUAAUUGCAGGCCCGGAUAAAGGAGGAAGGUUACGCUAGCUUGACAACCCAUAUAGAACUAAUUAAUUUACUACAAUUACUUGCAAUACAACAAAUUUACUAUCACCAUUUAAAAUUAGAAGCUUUACCAUUGUCAUCUUUGUAUGUUUCAUUACAAAGGAUAUGUUUUCAGAGAUAUUAUACUACAUAAAUAGAUGUAUUCCUCUAUUUAUUCUUCCAAACAAUAUUUUCUUACAAACAAAUAAAGCAAUCCUAUUGCAUUACAUGGUCUUCUAUACAACAACAUUACCUAAUGUAAUCCCAAGUGCGGUCUGGGGAGGGUGGCGUACCAUGUACAUCAGAUCUUUCUCCUACCUCAAGAAGGUAGAAUUAUGUGUUCUUUACUAAAAUCUUAAAAAGGGCUUCUUCAACUUCUUAGUCAAAAUAAGACACUAAAUUGAGGUAAUAGGGAUAAAGAUUAUUAUGUCUGGUACGUACAUAAUUCAUAAAGAGAAUCAAACAAGAGGCUAGUCAUAAAAGAGAGACGUGAAUUGGUUAGACUUUGCCAAAACCCUAAAAUAGAAAUUGUAUCCAAUCACUUCUUCAGGUUCCCACCAAUUUUACUUGUACAGAUGUGUUAAUAUCUUCAUAUUAUUCUUUUAAACAAAAAUUUUAGAUAUAUACUUAUAGAAGGUUACAAAGAUAGUCCUAAAGCAGAAAGUUCUUUUAAAGUCCAGAUUUCCUAAAAAUAGCACGGGAUAUUACCAAAUACAGCUGAGUAGCUGCUGUUGAGGAUGUCGCCACAGCUGGCACCAUCACCAACAGGACAAAAUGCUGCAGAGUUAGUUAACUUGAGGAACGUCAAGUAAGAAGUCUCAAGAAACCCAAUCCCACCAAGAGCUGCACACCAAUUGUAUGCUGAAAUGCCUGUAUCAGCAGGAGUAUCUGGCAAUACCACCUUAGAUUCUGAUUCUGUCUCUGCAUCUCCGACCUGCCUUGAUGAGCAGUUCACUCGAAGCAACAACAGUCGCCGAACCGAAUCUCUCUUUAAGAAUCAAGCAAUAAAAAUGUCAACAUUAGAGAAGAAGAAAAAAAAAGUGAAUCUUGAAGAGAUGAAGAGUAACUGUACCUUGAGUUGAACGAGAGAAGAUAUGGAAUUAGAGCGAGAUGGAAGAAGAUGAGAGGUCUGGGUUGGAAAAGGAGAAGAUGAUACGCCGAUGAUACUGGCCAUCAGCUCAGAAUUGGAUACCACCGGCCGUGAGUAGUGGUGGUUUGACUAGCUCUGCGGUGGUUGUUGGUCGUUGGUUGAAGUGCAGAAAAUGUUGCUCGUUACUGAAUACGGGGAUUUGGACCGGAACAAAUUUUGGGCUCUGGCUUAUUUUACACAAAACAUCCUUUGCUAAACUGUUUAGUAAGCCUUUGAACAUUUUUGGGCUUGGAGUUCAACAAGAAAGCAAGUGAAAUACUUAGUUAUUAUUGUCUAAAUGUAAUUUAAUUUCUUGACACAACAACCUAUUGAAAAUAAUAUUUUUUAUUUUUUGUGUAUAGGUUUCACUCGUGAAAUUAAAUUGAAUAUGUUAUUGCUUGUUAUUUAAAUAAAACUUGAGCUGAAACAAAAAUAUUGUAAAUAUAUAAAGAUUUUUUGAGUUUUGAAAUCAAUAUUACUUUAGAUUCAAAAUAUUUUCAAUUAAGAUUAAUUGCUUCAAGUAUUUAUGAAUAUUUAUGGACAAAUUAGCAGUGAAAAUAUUGGUCCUCGCUAACUUUGAGUCACGUUAAUUUUUGAAUCAAGGUCUGAUAUAUUUCUGAUCUAAGAAAUGUUAUAUCCAUCUGGUCAGGUUGCAUAAAAUUUGAUAUGAUUAGUAACAAUGAAAUUUGUGAAAAUGUAUGUAUUGGAACCUCGACUGAACUUGAGAAAGUUGAAGAUUUGCAAGUGUAAAUCAACAUUUCACUUUAAAAAUAUAUCUUCAAAUCAAUAUUAUUUAAAAUUUUACAUAAAAUUUGUAUUUACAGGUAUAUUUACAUUACAAGAAUAAUAAAACAGUACUUCAUGCUCACAAACAGUGUUGUUCACCUUCAUGUUACAAGAGUCGUUUGCACCUACUCUUGAUUUUUCUUGUGAAAAAAAGUUUGUGGUAUUCAAUCAAUAAAUUAUAUAGUUUUUAGGAUGCCGACUUGCCAAGUGAUGUACAUUUUCCCCAAAAUUACUUAAUUAUCAAGAAGGAAGGCGACCUUUUAAACUCAUUGAUUACCACAAUUCUUUUAAAAGAUUUGAGUUUAAUUAUGUACAUAAAACUCUAUAACUAUUCUCUUAUUCCGUUCUUCAAGUGAAAUAUAUGUCCAAACACAACUUCAACUUCUAAAAAUCUUUUUUGAACUACAGUAUUUUUUUUUAAUUUUAAUUUCACUCCAUUCAAUCCAAGUGCCUAUUAAGUCUUUUUUGUUGGACUUUUAUUUGCCCCAAUUUCUUAUCAUAAAUAGAUUUUUCCUUUUAGGAAAAAGUUUUGGAUUGACUAAUCCUUUUUCUGGUAGGAAAAUGUUUAGAAUUCUAUAAAUAGAGACAUGUUCCUUUUAAAUUAAUUAACAUCCACUAUGUAGUCUUAAAGGUUUUGAAAGUUUUGGUUAGGAGGAGAAUUUGUGGAUCACAAGCUUGAUAUGUUAUCACUUGUGUGAACCUCCCAUGUAUUCGUAGUGAAUUGGUUGAGAUUGUUUCUCUCUGUAUUUGUACUUUCAUAUUUAUAAUGGAUUGCUCAUCUCCUUUGUGGACGUAGGUCGAUUGAUCGAACCACGUUAAAUCUUUGUGUUUUUUGAUAUAUUUCUCAUUGCACCUACUUAUUUUCAAUCCUAACAUUUUUAUGGACUAAAACCAGAAAGAAAAGAAGUUGUUAAAAGUUCACUUAAGAAACAGAAGAAGCUAGACCAGAAUUUGCAUGAAAUGUGAGCAAAUAUCAAUAAAGAGCACUCUUUGAAGUUUUCAUUUAUUUUCAAAACUAUAAUGUUUUCAAGUGAGUGCAUCUCAUCUUUUUUAGUUCAAGUUUCUAUUUUCUUAUGUUUGUUUCCCACAUCGGAACCCAAAGCAGCACUCGUACGCAAGUAUUCUGUAAUAAAAGCCAAACACUUACACUGAAUGAAGCAUACCUUUCUCGGCCUUUUGGCUAAGAUCAAGUGUAGUAUCUGUUCUUAUCAGUUUAAUAUCUGAUAUGUGGGUCAUUGGCUCACACGAUAUUAACUCAAUUUUUUAAGGGGAAGGGUCUAUUAAGGUAGCUUGCUGCCUGGGCUCUUGCGCGUCGCCCAUGCGUUGCACUGCUGCACGGGCCUGGCGCACCCCACCAAUUUAAGUUACAAUUUCUUUUGGUCUUUAAUUUCGUUUUGUCUGUGAUUACUGGGGUAAUUUUAAUUCUUAGUACUGUAAAAUACAGUCAUGUUACUCUACUAGUCAAAUACCUUUUUCCCACUUUGUUUUUGGAAAAGCUCCAUCUAUAAGGUAAUUCUACCGAUAGACUUGUAUGGAGGGAGUAUUAGCAUUUGCACAGGAAUGAAUAUAAUGUCCCUUUUGUACAGGAAUGAAUAUUAAUUUGUCAUACUGACAAUGCUCAAUGUCCUCCUUUUGUAAUCCUUUUUGCGUAGAAUCUACUGGUAAGGGUUGUCAUGCCAGCUAUGAAGCAAAUUCUUGCUACAAAAAAACUGCAUCUCAUAUUGACUAUGCUCGUCGGUAUAUAGCAGAAGCCAAAUAACUUUCUAGUCUUUCUCGUAAGCAUACCUUUCUCGGCCUUUUGACUAAAAGAUCAAAGUGUAGUUUAUAUUCUUAUCAGUUUUAUAUUUGAACCAUUGAUUAACACGAGACUAACUUGAUUUUUUGACAGGAUGAGAUCAUUAUGGUGGUUUACUGCCUGGCCUCUUGCGCGUCGCCUAUGCGUUGCACUAUCGCACAGGCCCCGUGGAGGUAUAAUAUUUUGUUGGGCCUUUUCUUUGCCUUUCCUGUUUAGUUUAGUCUAAGUAUUCAAUUACGCGGUUAAGUAAAUUUAUACUACUUAAUUAUUCAUCAGAUUAUACUAUUUAAUUACUCAUAGCUAUAAUUUGCUAUAAUUACCACUCAGGACAAACAUUAUUAUAUUAAUCAUGUGGGCUACUUCGAGUUUGUAUAAUCAACUAUAUUUGUAUAUGUAUAAUUCGCCAGAAUAUACAAAUACAUAUGUAUAAUAUACAAUUAUUUAAUUUAUAUAUUCACAUCUCUCCCACUCUCUGGCCUUUUUUCGCUCGCCUCUCCCCUCGCUCUCCCAGUCUCGCUUGCUUUUUAUACAAAUGCAUAUGUAUACUAUAAUUAUCUAAUCAAUAUAUACAUAUACAUUCACCUCUCUCCCACUCUCUGCCCUCUCCCGCUCCGCCUCUCUCCUCCCUCUUCCAAUCCCGCUCGCCUCUCUCCUCUCUCUCUCAAUCUUUCUUGCCAUAUAUAGAGAUACAUACUAUAAUAUACAAUUAUCUAACCAAUAUACAUAUUCAUUCACCUCUCCCCCUUUUGCCCUCUCUCUCCUCUCUCCUCCCUAUAACAUGUAGUUACGAUUUGUAAUUAUCAAACUAGAAUUAUAAUUAUCAAACUAUAUAUAUGGAGAGUAAUUAGAAUAUUUUUAUGUGGUUAUAUGUAAAAGUUCCCCAUUAUUUAUUAAUGAGAAAAUAGUCAAAAGCCCCUCCCAGCUAUUAUCGAAUUCUCAACUACACACUUAUUCUUCACGGGGUCCUAUUACCCUCCUGAACUUUUUUAAUGUGAAAUAUCCCUACAAACUCACGCCCAGAUUUUUAUUAGGUGGUACUCACCACGCGCUUCUACGUAAGAUUACCCUUUUUUUCAUAUAAAAAAGUAAUUAUUCUUUUAUAUUUUCAUCUCCUCCCUUUUUCUUUCUUUUCCCUUCCUCCAUUUCUUUUUCCUUCCUCCAUUUAUUUUUCUUUGAAGCUUCUGCAAAUUGAUGAGAGGACACCAUGACUAUCAAAACUUCAACCUUCACCAAAAUUCUAGACACUAACAAAUUUCGUUUACUAAAAGUAUAGACAAAUGAAAAAGUCUAUCACUAAAUAUUGCUUCUUCUUUUGAUACUAUCAUGUUUCUCAAAGAUUGAUUCUUCAAAGAAUCACCAGUAAAUGAUACUUGCUUGCCGGGAUAAAGGUACCAAACUUGGAGGGACCAGUAUUGAUUUAGAUUUUAUCAAUGUUUAUAUGAGAAAUUUGAUUUAUAUAUGUACAACAAUUGUAAUAAAUGGCUAAUGAUGAAUUCUUCUCCAUUAAUUGAAUCUAUUACAUAGUGAACUCCUCCAUUAAUACUAGUCUAAAGUUAAAUUCUCUUGAUUUUGAUUUUGAGCUACCAACAAAUUUUUAAAGUGAUGAAAAGUAGAGAUAGAAAAGUAUGUGAUUUGGUGAUGAGAUUGACUUAAUGACGAAAACCUAAUGAGAGCGGUAACCUGGUAGCCGAGUUGAGCCACCGCCGUUGUCUAAUCUGAUGAUGAAGAUUGAAGGGAAGAGAUAAAGAAGGUAAAAAAUAAAUAAAAAGAAACAUAUUUUUAAUUAAAAAAUAGAAUAUUAAUAUGAAAUAAAGUUAAUAUUUUAAUUAUCUUUUUAUCUCUCACUCUCACUAUCCCAAAGAGAGCGAACUACACCUUUGCCACAUUAGCUUUUAGGAGCAAAUAACUCCAUUUUUAAAAUAGUUUAGGAGUAUAAUUAAAUCCUCGUAAAGUAUAAAUAUAUAGCUAGGAAAUCGAGUAUAAAUUGGAGGACUUUUGACUAUUUUCUCUUUUAUAAAUUGAAUGAAGUAAUGCACAGAAUUUGUAAUUACGUGUUUGACCAAAUUCCUGAAUGUAUUAUGGGCUAGUUUGUGAGAAGUAGAAAAUUGAGAAUCUAAAUUAAGUGUUAGAUACGUCAUGUUCUAACAUUUUUUAGUAAUUGGGGUAGUAAAUUACCAUAGUUGGCACCUGUAUAUAAAUCAUAGUAAUUGGGGGUAGUAAAUACUACCAUAAUUGGCACCUGUAUAUAAAUAAAUCUUAGUAAUUUGGUUAGUAAAUACCAUAAUUGGUACCUGUAUAUAUUAUUAUCCAAUAAGAGAAAAUAUCGUAUCUGACCUCUCCUAUUAAAAACUAUUAAAUAAAUUAGGCAUCCCUAAAUACAAAUUGAUCAAGUCUAGAUAACUGCAUUUAUAAUCUUCAAUAUCCUUAUAACGAAAUUCCUAAGCCACUUAACGGGUUUUUGGUUCAGUUUCAGUCUUUUCUUUUUUUCUUUUUGGAAUUUCAGUUUUUUGAUUUAGUAUAAUGGUGCUCUUCCAUGUAUCUAAAAAUCAAUUUUUAUUAUUUAGAAAAUAUUUUAAAUCUAAAUUCACCUUUUAAUCCAUUUUGUUACUCUCUUUACUCUUUAGUUGCCACAAAUUAAAUCAGAAUUUUUUUUAAAAAAAAUCAAAAUUUCAUCUAAUACAAAAACGUUGUAUGUUAUUGAUGUAUGUUUGGUCAAUAAAUAGUUUGGUCUAAAAUUAAAAAAAAUUGGUCCUUAUACUUUGAUAAUGUGGUGCUCAUUUUAUUUUUCAUUUGCACUUACAAAAAUAUUUUAAAAUCAACGAAUUAAAUCAUAUCGAAGCGAGAAAAAAUCAAACCCAACUUAUUUGAUUCGAUAUUUACUAUUUGCUUUUGAAAAUUAAAAAAUUAAAUUUUUUAAUACAGUAAAAAAAGCUAUCGAAUUUAUUCGGACCGAUAAAUUGUUAGAAGAAUCUUUAACAAGACAUUUUAUUACUGAUUAUGAAUAUGACAAUAUGUAACUGAUCGAGAGGUGAAUAAUAAUAUUAAGGACAUUGAAAAGUGUGCUUGUGGAUAAAAGGAGGUUAGACUAGAGAUAAAUUAAAAAAAAAAAAAAGUAGGUCCAUUUGGAACUUAUCCAACCAUAGAAUAAUCCAAGUCACUCUCACAUCAUUAUCUGAAUUAUUACAAGUUGUGCAAAAUUGGGAUUCACAUACAUAAUUCUUCUUUACGUGUCUAUCUAUCCAUACACUUGAAAAAAAACCCUCCUGUCUUCACCCAUAAAUAUCAAUCUCCCUUUCAUUUCUCACCAUCAAACAAAAUAAUUGAACAACUUCCACAGGAACAAACAAUCAUGAGAACUAUUUCCCUUCAUUCAACCUCAUUUUCACUUGUUGAGUUCCAUGGUACCAAGAAUUUGGCACAAAGGUAUAUUUAUAUGCAUUGAAAAUUUUCGAUUGAGUUCAUUUUUUCUUCUUCUUCCAAUGGGUGUUUCUUUUAACUCUGUUUUGUGAUUUGAAUGCUACUAGCAGCAGGAUCAAUAGAUCGGUUUCGUUGAUUCCAAUGGCGAGGUCUCAAUUUCAGCCUAAAAUAAGACGUGACAUUGGUACUAGCAAUAGAAAUCCAAGUUUUAGGUGGGUUUUUGAGUAUAUCCCCUGUUUUUGUGUUAUUUCUCUGUUUUUGGCUUUAAAAUGGGUGUUUGAACAAACAAUUUUUGUAGCUGGAUGGCAACAGUUGGAGAGAAAGUGCACAACUCCACGGUUCCUACUUCUGUUCCUGUUCGAGUUGCACUUGAAUUGCUUCAAGCUGGCCAUCGUUAUUUAGAUGUCAGGUAAUGCAAUUUAUGUAAACAAAAAAUAUGCCCUUUAAAUAUUUAUACUAUUUCUUGCAAUAUAUGAUCAGAACAAUUUAAUUUUUUAUCAAUCGUUUGUAUGGAAGAUUCAAUAUUUUAAACAUUUUUUUUUGCGCAGAACUACUGAGGAGUACAAUGAUGGGCAUGCUGCUGGAGCCAUAAACAUUCCUUACAUGCUUAGAAUUGGCUCAGGUUUGAUUAUUAGUAAUUUAAUACUACUCCCUUUUUCUGAGUACUCGAUGUUAACAAUAUUUAAGUUUUUCAAAUAUUUUUUUUACCAGUGUCCUCCUUAUGAUGCAUGAUAGAUUUUUUUUUAAGUGUCAUCGAGUUCUCAAAAAUUGAAAUGGUGGCAAUUAUUAUGCCUGGUUUCUACUUUCUGGGUGUCGAAUGUUUACAUGUAAAAUGUAUUUUGUUCAUCUUACUUCUCUUUCAAUUUUCUUACUUGCUCAUAAACGGAGGGUUAUUUAAUUUUAUACACAUGACUCUGUUACAAUUCUCUGGUACCAUUUUUAUUUCUUUGAAAAUAUUUUGGCAACUUAGCAAACAUAAAUCAUACAGAACUAGAGUUUUAGACCAACUUAAAGAACACUGUAUUGUUUGGUGGUGUACAUAAGAGUGAUUUUUGGUUAGUCUUUGAAGAUAAGUUUUUCAAGUAUCUUUUUUCCUUCUUACGAAAAUGAUUAUUUUUUUUUCGAGUGAAUUGCAUGUUUGAACACAAUUUUAACUUUCAAAUAACCCUUUUUUAACUUCAACUUUAGAUACUAUAUUUUCUAGACCAGAAUUUGCAUGAAAUGUGUUCAAUUAUGAACAAAGAGUACUCUCUGAAGUAGUACUCUGAAGUUUUAUUGUUUUUCACGGUGAUGUUUUAUGCUACUGCAUCAAGUUUCUGUUCUUCUUUGAGUGGUAUAUUAGUUUCCCACAUCGGAACCCAAAGCAGGACUCGUACGCAAGUGUUGUGUAAUAAAAGCCAAACACUUACUCAGUAAUAGGCAUACCUUUCUCGGCCUUUUGGCUAAGAUCAAGUGUAGUAUCUGUUCUUAUCAGUUUAAUAUCUGAUAUGUGGGCCAUUGGCUCACACGAUAUUAACUUAAUUUUUUACGGGGAAGGGUCCAUUAAGGUAGCUUGCUGCCUGGGCUCUUGCGCGUCGCCCAUGCGUUGCACUGCUGCACGGGCCUGGCGCACCCCACCAAUUCAAGUUCAACUUUCUGAUUGUGUUUUUCAUAGUUUUUCUGUACUUUUUCUACCCUAGAUGCAUAAUCCCAGCA
rnacentral:lncRNA from 1 species